GGCAAGUAUACAUGGUUAGGGUAAGAUAGAAUGUAUUAUACAUAUAUAUAUAUAUAUAAAUAUAUAGCUGAGUCCUUGGUGUGCGGGAAUAGGCAGCACUCUGAAAGACAGAAGCAUUGUCCAGCCAUCCUUCAGUACAUUCCCUGCCUGUUGCAGUCUGAAGCCGUCCCUGGAGAGUGAGCCCCACAGCAGCUUUCUGUGCUGCCAUUUCCUGGCAUGAUGGUGAUGUCUGGCUUCCAGUCAAAUUACCUUCUUUGUGUUCAAGAAAAAAAAGAAAGAAAGGAAGAAAAAAAGGAAGAAGGGGAGGAAGAAAGAAAGAAAGAAAGAAAGAAAGAAAGAAAGAAAGAAAGAAAGAAAGAAAGAGAAAGAGAGAAAGAAAGAAAGAAGUCUUUAUAACAUUGAGUUUGAGUUACCUUUCAUUUAGGUAUAAAUGCAUUUGAGAAACAUUACCUGUCAUGGAUACUGUAAACUAAGAUGUGUUCUCUUUCCACUGAUUUUCUACUCAGUUCUACCAAAUAGGAAUGUUGUGCUUUGCAUGUUUGAUGAUGACGCUGUGAUGUCAUUCACCGAAAGCACCUUAGAUAUCUACUGUAAAAGACAUCUUCCCUUAGAUACAAAUGAUGAUGUUUAUGGCUUAUUAUCUUAAAAUUCAAAUGUUCUUGACAUAAAUUUUUUAAAAAAAUUUAGAAGGGAAAUCUGGCUACUUCCAGUGGUCUAUUUAAUUCAUUAUGCCCAAAUCAACAUCUGGGUGGAAAAACUUUAUUUUCAGAAGAUUUACAUUGGUAUUUAGCUUAUUAUUAUUUUAGUUCUGUGGGGUUUUAAAAUACACAAGCCUGUCUUUACUAGACAUAAAAUUUAAUACCAAUUUUAGAACGAUAAGGUAAGACUGCUUCUGAAUAUCAUGAAAUAAGUCUUUGAUAUUUUGGUUGUAAUUUUUUUUUCUUGGUGCUGGGGAUGGUACUCACGGCCUCAGAGAUAUUCAGCAAGAGCCCUACAGUCGGGCAGAGCCUGCAGCCCAACCCUCAGUAUGAAUGUCAGUGUUUCUCCCUCCAGGCUUCCGACCAGGGGCCAGGAAUGCAUCUAGGCACUGGGACCAGAGGGAUGCUUAGAAGAGAAAGGCAUCUCUGCCCUUGUACAGCUUAUACUCUGGAAAGGAGACAUCGUUGUGCUUUAAUAGUCUGCCUGCAGGACUGUUUCUGUUUCUGGGCUACUUAAAAGAAAGCUUUUUUUAAAAAAAAAUGAGUAAAUUAAUUGUAGAAAUUAAAAAUGUAAAAGUAGAAAUUUUGUUUUUGUUUUUUGUUUUCCAAGACGGGGUUUCUCAAUGUAGCCCUGGCUGUCUUGGAACUCACUCUGUAGACCAGGUUGGCCUCGAAUGCAGAAAUCCACCUGCCUCUGACUCCCAAGUGCUGGGAUUAAUGGCGUGUGCCACCACUGCCCGGCCAGAAAACAUUUUUUAAAGAGGCUGCCAUGGGCUGUUUUUGGUUGGUUGGUUGGUUCUUUGUUUUGUGGUGCUGGAGAUGGAAUCAGGGCUCUGCAACUGAGCCACACCUCCACGUUGCAACUCUUAUUUUGAAAAUGAAUUUACCAAAUGAGUUCUCAUUUUGUACAAUGUUGAGAUAUUUGUGAACUGAGAAAUUAAUUCGUAAAUGAAUCAGCUGCACAUAUAAAAUAUCAUGUCAGGCUUGAUAGCUCAAUAAGAAAUAACACAAAUUUUUUUUUCUUAACACACAAAUAUUGGUAUGAACUGGAAUGAAAGGGUAAUUUAAUUUAGACCUGUUCCACCAUUGGCUACUAAAGCACCUGCUGUGGGCACUGCAAGAAACACUACAUUCUACACCUGGGUACCUGUGUGUGUUCACUGUAUUUCUUUGUGGUAAGCGAAUUGGGGGUUGGGGGUGGAGUGCUGCUACUAAGAUAUAAAUAGACAAGGUCUAAAUGGAAUUUUGUCUCAUUUGGUCAGAAUGGUUUCUGGUAAACUGAGAAGGAUUAUUACAAUAAGUGGCUUUUUUUGUUCUAGGCUACUGUUACUGUCCAAUUGAUCUUCGUUGAGUGUAUAGAACCCGUCACACAUUCAUGAUACGUAGCACUGAGAAAGUAAGCGUUCAGCUUUCCCUUGGGCACUAAGGACAAGCAGUUAGGUUUUAUAGGUUAACGAUAGUGUGUCUUCUCCCGCCAUAAACCUCCCUUGCUGGACACAGGGUGGUAGGGAGUCACUUUGACUAUCCAGAAACACACAAUUAGAAAGUUGUUAUGACUGUUUGCUGGUGUUUAAAUGAUGUGUAAGAUUUUGAUGAAACUUUAGUCUCUGUAACCAAAUAAGCCCCCGAGUUUCCUAAACUUGACAAAAUUUGAGGCAAUAAGCACCCCUGGUCCAUGCAGCUGUUGCACAUCUGCUCCCACUACAUGUACAGGGUAUGUAUGUCCUCACGGGGAAUGAACUGGAAUAGCGGGACGUAACCAGGUAUAUGGAGCCUCGCUCUAAAGGGUUAGCAUAAAUGCUUUGGUAAUACCUACGGAGGAAAUUGGAGAGAUCAGAUCAACAUCAGGCCAUCUGUAGGUCACAUCAAAUGGGAAAAGUCUCUCUAUGCAUUUGAACUGUAGAUCACCCUCUCUGUUCACCAGCUUCUGAACAGGGAAGAGGAAUUUCUGUUUUUGGUGAAUGCUUUUAAAACAAGACCUUUUUCCAAGUAGGAUAGCAUUGAAGCUGCCUGAUGCAAACCUUUCUAAUUUCCCUUAAAAUCAAAAGUCCUAAUACUGUUACUUUAUGUAAAUGUUGCAGGGUGUUUAAAAUUUUACAAUUAUUUUAAUAUUUUUGAUAACUAGGAAUCUAGUAUUGCCAUAAAGGAAACUAAGUGCCCAUUAAAUAUUUGUUUGGUAUAAAUAAAUACUUUUUUUUUUGGUUUUGUUUCAAAUGACAGUAAGCUACAAAUCAUGACGCUAAUCUUCAAAAACACUUUCUAAUGAACUGUGUGGUAGUUGAUUGUGUGGUCUGUUUGUGGAGAAUGUAUGGAUGCGAUUCAUUAGUAUUCUAGAAGAGAUUAAUAAUCAGCUAUGUUGUUCCAAUGAAUGUACAGCACUUCCAUUAACUUUUGAAAGCAACACAGCCUUAACCUCAUGCUUUUGCUUUAUAACGUGGGACGUUGUGCUAUCAACACAGUACCCUCUGCUAACGUUCUUUCUCACCAUUCCUGACUGCAGCCAUCGGAGGCUGCCUACGAGAAUGGGGGUUGUUUGUUCCCUUUUCGUUUCUUUGAAGAUUUUGUACAUUCCACCUUGACACAUCUGUCUCAUACAUUUUGUGUACAGACCACUGGUCUUGUGUUUUCUGCCAUUGAUAAUGAUAUAGCCUCCUCAUAUGUUCUUUUAUGAAUUGAAAUGCUGACUGCCUGUUUAAAUAGAAGAACGGACGCCGUGCAUCAGUGUGUUUGUAUGUUCGUAGCUACAUCCGUACCACAGUAUUUUGGAUGCUUUAGUCUAUAAAACUUUAAAUUAAUUCUGUCUUGAAACACAGGAGAAACAAGACUCGAGUGUAUAUCGUUACCAUGCACAAAAGUCUCAGAUCAUUAUAAUAAAGCUUGUUCUCUCCACCUG
rnacentral:lncRNA from 1 species